GAAAAGGUAAGCUACAAAGAGCAAGUGGUGGAUGCCUUGGCUAGUAGAGGCGAUGAAAGACGUGCCAGGCUGCGAUAAGUCUCGGGGAGCCGUCAAGGGGCUUUGAUCCGGGAAUUUCUGAAUGGGGCAACCCAACUAAUAGAGAUAUUAGUUACCGUAUAACGGAGCGAACGAGGGGAAUUGAAACAUCUUAGUACCCUCAGGAAAAGAAAUCAAAAGAGAUUACGCUAGUAGCGGCGAGCGAACGCGUAAGAGGGCAAACCACUAGUUUACUAGUGGGGUUGUAGGACUGCAAUAUAGACUAAACUUAGCUAAUAGAACAACCUGGAAAGGUUAGGCACAGAGGGUGAUACCCCCGUAUAUGAAAGCUUUGUUUUACUUAGCAGUAUCCUGAGUAGGGCGGAACACGUGAUAUUCUGUCUGAAGCUGGGUAGACCACUAUCCAACCCUAAAUACUACUACUAGACCGAUAGUGCACAAGUACCGUGAGGGAAAGGUGAAAAGAACUGAGGUGAUCAGAGUGAAAUAGAACCUGAAACCAUUUACUUACAAUCAUUCAGAGCACGAUUCUUUAUGACGUGUGAUGGACUGCCUUUUGCAUAAUGAGCCUGCGAGUUGUGGUGUCUGGCGAGGUUAAGGA
rnacentral:rRNA from 1 species